rnacentral:lncRNA from 1 species
AAAUGAGGCACCCCCUUCGCGAGUCCAGGAAAGGGGUCAGGGAAAUAUCCUGCUUCAUCUGGGGGCCUGUCUGAGAUAUGUCAGAAGGAUUUCCAUACUACUGGCAAAGAUCUCACUAAUUAGCCCUCAUAUAUUGACUUCUGUUUUCAUUUUUCUUCUUUAUUUAUCCUCAAUUGAUUGGUGAUUCCAGCCCUUUGGUCCAGCACUCAAGCCUGGAUCACUCAGUCAUCAUCUUUAUCCACUAACUGCUGGACUCUAAUGAAAAGAAAGCUCUUACCUGCCCAACUUAUUGCCUCCAAGUGUACCAAGAUACGUUUCUCUCUGACAUUGCCUGUACAUUUGCCUGUAGAACUGAAUAAAUGCCUAAAAAAUUAGUGCUAAAUGGCAGCAACUAGAGUUUACUUUGAAGCUGUUUUAUUAUCCUUCAUUGUGUAUAAUUCACUGAGAAAAAUGACACCUGGAUGGUGCCCUUUUCUUGUUUUAUAAAUAUUCAUUUCUUCCUGGUGAUAUAAAAAAGGUUGAAAUGAAAGUUUCGGGUUUUCCUGGGGAAAAGAAAGAAUGACAAUUUUCGAUUACUGUGCUGCUUAUCACAAAAGUAGUUUCAUUUGCCUGAUAGCUUCAUUGACUGGUGUCAAGAUAAUGCCAAGUAGAGUGUUUUGCUAGCUUAAUGCCACCCACAGAGAUAGACAAAAUAUUACUUUUCACAUGCAUUAUGAAAAUAGUAGCUAUUAAUUGUGCUGCUCAACUGUAAGCUGAUCAAACUGCAGAAAACAAGAAAUGUGGCAUUUACGAUUUAGGAAGGCACUUUUCUCAAAUUUCCAGUCAUUAAUUCACAGUUUAAAUCUUGGACCUAAGAAUAUUUACCAAAUUCCUCUAAGUUUCCUGAUCUACUGAAUAUUUUCUUAUUGUUAUGUCAAUCAAGUAAAAUUCUAAGGAGGUUUGAGACUGAGAUUUAUUAUGGCAUUAUAACUCAAUGUUCUGUUUUUCUACUGCAGUUUAAUGUUUUAAAAGGUUAAAUAAGAAUUGGUAUUUAAUGUUAACAAUAACCAUACCUGUUCAUAGACCAUUUUCAUCAACACUUAAGUAUUGGUGCUUAUGCCAUAUCAGGCACUGUUUUAGGCACCACGGAGUAUAAAAAUGGUAAUUUUAGAAUUGUGUGCUUAAGUUUUAAAUCAAGACUGGAAUUUAAGAUACAAAAAGUAUAAUGGCAAAAUUUUCCAGAAAAGUAGACUGGGACUAGAUUAUGAAGACCUUGAAUGCAAGGUUGAGGAAUAUAGAUGUAGAAGGAGCCACUGCAGAAAUUCCCCAGGAGAGUGGCAGAGCAUGUCUAUUCUUUAGAAAUGUCAUUGUGGUCACAAUGCAAAUGAUUGCUUAUGUAUGAGAGGGGCCUAGUGCAAGAGGCGCAGAAGUAUAGAAUGUGCAGGGUUGCAUCGAAAGUAUAGAGUGUGUAGUGACUGUGAGGAUGAAGAGCAGAAAUUACAGUCACUAGCAUAGAGGCAGUGCAGGGUUCUCUUACAUGACAAUAAUGGCAUCAUUAUUAUUAUUAAUUACCAAUAAUAGCUGUCUCCUAUAGCUGGAACAGGACCUCUUGGGUCAUUUAGAUGGUCCUGAUAGCAUGAUCAUAAAUGAUCUGGGAGAUGACUUAAGCAGUAUGUGGUCCAACCCAAGGUCCUGCAUUCUUUAUCUUCUUGAAGCUAUAAUUUGUAAGAGUGACUUGAGGGAGAGUGGGAGAGCGACAAAGUUGGCCCCUAGAUGUCAUGAAAGCCAUGUGUUAGAUGCCACCUCUCCAAGCCUUUCAAAUAUCUUGAUCUUUCAUCUUCAUACCACACUUCUUUCCAAGGUCAGGAGGGGUCAGUGUGGUAACUCACCAUGUGACGCAGACUGAGCCUGAGAUCUAGAAAGUGACUGGCCAUUGAUCAUCUAACAUAUCAUUGGAGGUGGAUGAAUCCAACAAGCAAGGUAGUUUUUGCAACUGAUUAUUGGCCUGAAACAGGAAGAGAUGAAUAAAUUUUUAUUUAAAAUCAUGGCAGUUUAUUUGACCUGUCUCUUGAGAAGUCAUUUACAUUGGAAUUCAACCAUCAAACUUCUCAGCUGACACCCUUCAAUAAUUGUUGGGAACAGGCCCCCCAAAAUCUGUCCAUAAACUGGUCCCAAAACUGGCCAUAAACAAAAUCUCUGCAGCACUGUAACAUGUUCAUAAUGGCCCUAAAGCCCAAGCUGGAAGGUUGUGGGUUUACGGGAAUGAGAGCAAGGAACAUCUGGCCAGCUCAGGGCAGAAAACCGCUUAAGGCAUUCUUAAGCGACAAACAAUAACAUGAACGAUCUGUGCCUUAAGGACGUGCUCCUGCUGCAGUUAACUAGCCCAACCUAUUCCUUUAAUUCGGCCCAUCCCUUCGUUUCCCAUAAGGAAUACCUUUUAGUUAAUCAAAUAUCUAUAGAAACAAUGCUAAUGACUGGCUUGCUGUUAAUAAAUAUAUGGGUAAAUCUCUGUUCAGGGCUCUCAGCUCUGAAGGCUGUGAAACCCCUGAUUUCCCACUUCACACCUCUAUAUUUCUGUGUGUGUGUCUUUAAUUCCUCUAGCGCCACUGAGUUAGGGUCUCCCCGACCAAGCUGGUCUCAGCAAAUAAUAAGAGCUAGUGUGACAUAUGACAGAUGAAAAGAGAUUAAUAUAGUGGUUAUCUUAAUAAGAAAUCCUACAAAUAAUUAGCGUGGUAGUAAAAGCAUAUAUUUGUAGAUCUCAAUUUAAAUUCUGGGUCUGCUAUUGUAAGUCAGAUAAACUUGGCAAGUUACUUUACCUUUCUAACCUCAGUUUCUUUACUUUCUGUCAGUAAGAUAUGAAUGCCAACAUGACAGAUUUGUUUUUAUAUUAAAAUGAAACACUAUACACUUAAGGCAGGUUCUGGGAAAUAAUAAUGGCUCAAAAUUUUAGUCAUUAUUAUAUAGAAAAAUGAAUUGCAAAGUCAUUUUAUGGGACUCUAUUUUCAACUUUUAUGUGGAACUGCAUUGUAUGAAACAGCAAAGUACAACUUAGUAUCUAUUUUGUAAACUCAGCUGUAUGGCAUUUUUUUUCUUAUUAUUAAAUA